rnacentral:lncRNA from 1 species
GUUUACAGCUGUGUGGUGCCACACCCAGCAACUUUAUGUAAUUUCUUUUAACUAUUAAUAGAUACUUAUUGUCAGUAAUGCUUUGCAACCGUGUUGUACAAUUUUACCAUUUGUUUAAUUGUUUUAUCUUUUUCUCUUUUUUUUGGUACUGGGGAUCGAACUCGAACUCGGGACCUUGCGCUUUUGAGGAAGGUGCCAGAACCACUGAGCUAAAUCCCUGGCCCCUAAUUGUUUUAUCUUUUUGGUAGGUAGAUUACAAUGAAUCAUUUUUUGGUUACUGAUCAGGUCACUUUUUUCAUUUUUUUUUUUUUCCACUUACAGAUUGUUUUAUCCUCAGCUUCUGGGUUGUUUUUUUUUUGUUUUUUGGGGGGUUUUUUGCUUUUUUUUCUAUGGAGAUACUAGUUUUUUCGUAUUAAUUCUUAAGGCUCUUUAUGGACAGUGGACCCUCAAGUUAUGACCGGCAUGACACAACUUAGGUUAUGGUCAGAAUAUUUGAAAAUAUUAAGUCUUCAGCAUAUUUUGUCCAUCUACCCCUUUUUUUCCUUGAUGCUGGGGAUUGACUCAAGGGCUUUGUACAUGCUAGGCACCAUGCUCUACCAUCACCCCUACUUCUGCAGAUCAUAGUGCAUCCUUCUCCACCUUAUUCACUGCAUCUAGCACCGUGUGACUUCUGCCUCUUCCCCAAAAUCAAAGUGACUAUGAAAGGUAAACAUUUUGAAUCCAUUCAGGACAUUGAUGCAAAAGUUUAGUAUCCAACAGGGUAACUAAAGACAUUCAGGAAAGAGGACUUACAGAACUGCUUCAGAAAGUGGCAAGAAACAUGGGAUCAGUGUGUUUGAAAUGAGGGAAUGUUCUUUGAGGGGGAUUAAUGGCACUGUAUCUUAGACUGUAAUAAAUAUUAAACAUUCUCUAUUUUUCAAUCACACAUCAAAUUAAUUCUAAGUGUAACAGUCUUCACAGUUAAAGUGAUAAUAGAUGAAGAAUUUUAAUUUUUGUUAGAAAAAAUAACCAGUUUUAGUUAGUGUACCUCAGUUCAUGAACUUCAAUCAUUCCACAAGUCUGAAAAAGAUGGCCACAUUCAUGUUCGUGCAGGAAAGAUGGCGGUAAUUGUGUUUGUCACUCAGUGCAGAGUUUGAAAACAAAAACAAAAUCUUGCCAAACACUUCUGUUUACAAACCAAAUUGCUUGCAAAUGAAAGCCUUUAUGAACCGAGGUACCACUGUACAAGACAUUGCUUAACCGUUUGUCAUCUCUUACCCAUUUGUUGUUCAUCCUUUAGGUUAGAGGUGAAGCGUCUGCACACUGCUAAGUUUUAUAAUCAGAUCACACAUCUCUUUUCUCACUUUGUACAUGAGGGAGUUCAGGGCCUAUGAGGCAAUUAGUUUUUUUAGAAUGUGGAAUUACAGUCCUUCAUUGCUUUAAAACUAGUUAAUAGGUGUAUCUAUUGCAAAAAUAAAUGUAUGUUGAGGAAAGUAUAAUUUAAAAAUUAUAAAGAAUUUUAUUCUUACUACAGACUUAGCUUAUAUGUCUAUAAAGCUUACUUUGUCAGUUUGUUGUGCCCAUUUUGAUUCCAGCUGCAUAGUACAGUGGACCCUCAAGUUACGACC